CGGACGGCGCCUCCGCGUUCAGGACAUGUACAACUCGAUGACGAUCUCCUUCUUCUUGAUCCAGCAAGAGAUAUGGGGAGGUAGAUGAAUUCUACGGUAGCGUGACGGCGUGCCGGCGAUGGUGGUGGAUCUAUUCCAGCAGGGAUUCGCCUAAGCGCUGUUAAAAACCGAUCUAGAGGAAUAACUACGAUCUAGAGGAGAGGGUAAAAUGUGGC
rnacentral:lncRNA from 1 species